rnacentral:rRNA from 1 species
GAUGAACGCUGGCGGCGUGCCUAAUACAUGCAAGUCGAGCGAACGGACGAGAAGCUUGCUUCACUGAUGUUAGCGGCGGACGGGUGAGUAACACGUGGAUAACCUACCUAUAAGACUGGGAUAACUUCGGGAAACCGGAGCUAAUACCGGAUGAUAUUUUGAACCGUAUGGUUCAAAAGUGAAAGACGGUCUUGCUGUCACUUAUAGAUGGAUCCGCGCUGCAUUAGCUAGUUGGUAAGGUAACGGCUUACCAAGGCAACGAUGCAUAGCCGACCUGAGAGGGUGAUCGGCCACACUGGAACUGAGACACGGCCCAGACUCCUACGGGAGGCAGCAGUAGGGAAUCUUCCGCAAUGGGCGAAAGCCUGACGGAGCAACGCCGCGUGAGUGAUGAAGGUCUUCGGAUCGUAAAACUCUGUUAUUAGGGAAGAACAUAUGUGUAAGUAACUGUGCACAUCUUGACGGUACCUAAUCAGAAAGCCACGGCUAACUACGUG